rnacentral:rRNA from 1 species
GGUCUUGACAUCCCUUGACAACUCCAGAGAUGGAGCGUUCCCUUCGGGGACAAGGUGACAGGUGGUGCAUGGUUGUCGUCAGCUCGUGUCGUGAGAUGUUGGGUUAAGUCCCGCAACGAGCGCAACCCUUAUUACUAGUUGCCAGCAUUCAGUUGGGCACUCUAGUGAGACUGCCGGUGACAAACCGGAGGAAGGUGGGGAUGACGUCAAAUCAUCAUGCCCCUUAUGACCUGGGCUACACACGUGCUACAAUGGCGUAUACAACGAGUUGCCAACCCGCGAGGGUGAGCUAAUCUCUUAAAGUACGUCUCAGUUCGGAUUGUAGGCUGCAACUCGCCUACAUGAAGUCGGAAUCGCUAGUAAUCGCGGAUCAGCACGCCGCGGUGAAUACGUUCCCGGGUCUUGUACACACCGCCCGUCACACCAUGAGAGUUUGUAACACCCAAAGCCGGUGGGGUAACCUUCGGGAGCCAGCCGUCUAAGGUGGGACAGAUGAUUAGGGUGAAGUCGUAACAAGGUAGGCGUAGCGAG